UACGUAGGUGGCAAGCGUUGUCCGGAAUUAUUGGGCGUAAAGCGCGCGCAGGCGGCCUCUUAAGUCUGAUGUGAAAGCCCCCGGCUCAACCGGGGAGGGCCAUUGGAAACUGGGAGGCUUGAGUUAUAGGAGGGAAGAGUGGAAUUCCACGUGUAGCGGUGAAAUGCGUAGAGAUGUGGAGGAACACCAGUGGCGAAGGCGACUCUUUGGCCUAUAACUGACGCUGAGGCGCGAAAGCGUGGGGAGCAAACAGG
rnacentral:rRNA from 1 species